rnacentral:rRNA from 1 species
AGACCCGAAACCCGGUGAUCUAGCCAUGGGCAGGUUGAAGGUUGGGUAACACUAACUGGAGGACCGAACCGACUAAUGUUGAAAAAUUAGCGGAUGACCUGUGGCUGGGGGUGAAAGGCCAAUCAAACCGGGAGAUAGCUGGUUCUCCCCGAAAGCUAUUUAGGUAGCGCCUCGUGAAUUCAUCUCCGGGGGUAGAGCACUGUUUCGGCUAGGGGGCCAUCCCGGCUUACCAACCCGAUGCAAACUGCGAAUACCGGAGAAUGUUAUCACGGGAGACACACGGCGGGUGCUAACGUCCGUCGUGAAGAGGGAAACAACCCAGACCGCCAGCUAAGGUCCCAAAGUCAUGGUUAAGUGGGAAACGAUGUGGGAAGGCCCAGACAGCCAGGAUGUUGGCUUAGAAGCAGCCAUCAUUUAAAGAAAGCGUAAUAGCUCACUGGUCGAGUCGGCCUGCGCGGAAGAUGUAACGGGGCUAAACCAUGCACCGAAGCUGCGGCAGCGAACGUAUCACUUAAAGCGAUUCAGCGGGUUACGAUUGACGGAGCGAAGCGACGUCAAAGCGUAUACAAAGUCGAGUCGGUUUAAGGAUACGUUCGUUGGGUAGGGGAGCGUUCUGUAAGCCUGCGAAGGUGGCCUGUGAGGGUUGCUGGAGGUAUCAGAAGUGCGAAUGCUGACAUAAGUAACGAUAAAGCGGGUGAAAAGCCCGCUCGCCGGAAGAC